UUGACCUCAAAUCAGGUAGGACUACCCGCUGAACUUAAGCAUAUCAAUAAGCGGAGGAAAAGAAACUAACAAGGAUUCCCCUAGUAACUGCGAGUGAAGCGGGAAAAGCUCAAAUUUAAAAUCUGGCGGUCCUCGCGGCCGUCCGAGUUGUAAUCUGGAGAAGCGUUUUCCGCGUCGGACCGUGUACAAGUCUUCUGGAAUGGAGCGUCGUAGAGGGUGAGAAUCCCGUCUCUGACACGGACCGCCGAUGCUUUUGUGAUACGCUCUCGAAGAGUCGAGUUGUUUGGGAAUGCAGCUCAAAACGGGUGGUAAAUUCCAUCUAAAGCUAAAUAUUGGCGAGAGACCGAUAGCGAACAAGUACCGUGAGGGAAAGAUGUAAAGCACUUUGGAAAGAGAGUUAAACAGUACGUGAAAUUGUUGAAAGGGAAACGUUUGAAGUCAGUCGCGUCGGUCGAGACUCAACCUUGCUCUUUUGCUCGGCGCACUUCUCGGCCGACGGGUCAGCAUCAAUUUCGACCGUCGGAUAAAGGCCGAGGGAAUGUGGCAUCUUUCGGGAUGUGUUAUAGCCUUCGGUUCGCAUACGGCGAUCGGGAUUGAGGAACUCAGCGCGCCUUCAUCGGUCGGGGCUUCGGCUCACGUUAACGCGUUUAGGAUGC
rnacentral:rRNA from 1 species